GCGACCGCCUCCUCCGCUCCAACCCGGUCCACAAGAAGGUCCCGGUGCUCCUCCACGACGGCCGCCCCGUGUACGAGUCCCUCAUCAUCCUCAACUACCUCGACGACGCCUUCCCGGACACCCCCUCCCUCCUCCCCUCCGACCCCUACGAGCGCUCGCAGGCUCGCUUCUGGGCCGACUACGUCGACAAGAAGGUCUACGACUGCGGCACCCGGCUCUGGAAGCUCAAGGGCGAGCCGCACGCGCAGGCGCGGGCCGAGAUGCUGGAAAUCCUCAAGAAUCUGGACGGGGCGCUCGGGGACAAGCUCUUCUUCGGCGGCGACGUCUUCGGGUUCGUGGACGCCGCGUUCGCGCCCUUCACCUCGUGGUUCCACAGCUACGAGAAGUACGGCGAGUUCAGCGUCGCCGAGGUGGCGCCGAGGGUCGCGGCGUGGGCAAAGCGGUGCGGCGAGCGGGAGAGCGUCGCCAAGAGCCUCUACUCGCCGGACAAGAUUUACGAGUUCAUCGGCGUGCUCAAGAAGAUGCACGGCGUCGAGUAAGUCGGCCGGCCGGUCGGAGAAGCAAUAAGUUCGAUCCACUGAAAAAAAAAUAGGGCGCUAUAGCCUAUUGAGAAUUGUCUCGUUAAAUAAAACGGUGUACAAUGUCUGGCUAAUAGCACGCUAUAGCGUGAUAUAGCACGCUAAUAGUAUAUUUUGAGGUUGAUGCUAUUUUUCUGUAGCGCGCUAUUUUUUCAUUGGUUCGAUCGUGUGUACGAUUAUUGGUGGUACGUAGUACUGUAGUUGUUCGUUUGGUCGUGUACUUGUGACGUGUGUGUGUCAAUGGUAGUCUUCUUCAGUGGGGGCAGCACCGAGUUGCCACCUGCCAUUCUAUUCCAUGUGAAGAAUAAUUUAAUAAAGGGUAUAUUUGGACUUCUACUGGUGCUGACAAUUGGUUCUGUGGCAUUUUGUUUCAACAUUUGACGAGCGCGGGAUUACUUUAUCAUACUUCAAAUCAAAUACAUAUAUAAUAGAAGGAUUGGACCGUUUUGCUGCCCUCGUGUUGUUGGGUUUUCAUAGUCUAUUUACUAUCUGUUUCAAUAUAAAGGUGUAUUUGUUUUCUAGAAAAGUCAAAUAUUUUUAAGUUUGAUCAAAUUUGUGAAGAAAUAUAACAAUAUUCGUAAUAUCAAAUUGGUAUCAAUAUAUUCAUCGUGAAAUGAACUUUUAUAUGUCAUUUAUUUGGUAUUGUGAAUGUCGAUAUUUUUGGCUCUGGAGUUCGUAUGUCAAAGUCAACGAAAUUCAACUUUCAAAAAACAACUACACCUUGUAUUUUGAAAUUGNNNNNNNNNNNNNNNNNNNNNNNNNNNNNNNNNNNNNNNNNNNNNNNNNNNNNNNNNNNNNNNNNNNNNNNNNNNNNNNNNNNNNNNNNNNNNNNNNNNNNNNNNNNNNNNNNNNNNNNNNNNNNNNNNNNNNNNNNNNNNNNNNNNNNNNNNNNNNNNNNNNNNNNNNNNNNNNNNNNNNNNNNNNNNNNNNNNNNNNNNNNNNNNNNNNNNNNNNNNNNNNNNNNNNNNNNNNNNNNNNNNNNNNNNNNNNNNNNNNNNNNNNNNNNNNNNNNGAGUGUUUUUAUUUAUUUAUAAUGUGGUAUUUUGAUGGGGCCUUUCGCGGUAUGAAUUUGUGUUAUCUAUUAAUCAAUCAAUACUUAUGUGGGACAAAUUUCUACGUCGAUGAUUGCAUGUACCAUUUUGGUGCUACAAUACCAUGUUAACGUUAUUUCCUAGGUGGUGGGAAUGUGCGCGGGAUUAUUAUAGUUUUAUCGUUUGCUGCUGACUGAUUAGAAAAACUGUUGACUUGGUUAAAUCAUGAACCAAAUUCAAAAUUGAAUACCUCAAUUCAAUGGAAAAGUUUCAAAAUUAAGGUGCAUAGUUAAUUAAAAUAAUGAAUGAAGGAGAUUGUUAAGAAAUUAUUGACUUGGUCAAAAUUAGAUGACCCCAUUCUAAAUUGAAGACCUCAAUUCAUUAUGGGACCUUAAAAAUUAGGGGCUAGUGCUAUAGAGGAUUAGAAGCAUGUGUGUGAUAGUAUCUAUUCUAAUUUUCAAAAAUCGAACCAAUAUCCGGAGGAGUAAACCAUCAACGAAUCACAAAAUGUAGUAAUACAUAUUUGAAGUGUGUGUGUGUGUGACAAUAUCUAAGCUAAUUUUCAAAAUUUGACCCAAAAUCCAAAGGAGACACGUAAUAUCGACUGUAACCCAUCAACGAAUCAUAAUGGGCCUUCGAACGACAACAUAAAUGAUUUUUAACAUAGAUCGACGAAAUCACUUGUUAAGGGUUAGGCCAACUCCAAAGCGGCGCCCCUUUCCAUCCGUUGGUGCAUGUUUGGGUCUGCGCGGCCAAACCAAUGGCCUUGCGCGUGACUGCAAACGCAAAAUUUGUCUGUCACGUGUCCGUCUGAGCAAAUUUGGGACCGAUUUUCGUCUAGAUGGACACAAGUCGGACACGUCGCGCGUCCUUUCGUCGUGUGCCUCAGGCCGGCGUGUCGGCCGGCCAACCACCAACCCGUCCCCACUUAAUCCAUGCAUGUGGAAGGGUCCCGCACGUCAGCCAGUCAGCCCCCUCCACCCCGGUCCUUUUAAUGCCACACGUGCGGGUGGAGGGGCCGGCUGUUGGAGAUAUGCCCUAGAGGCAAUCAUGUGAUGAUGAUAUUUCCAUAUGUAUUCAUGAGUCCUUUGUGUUGUCCUUGAACAUCAUCAAUGCUAUGUAUCAAUAAGUAUGUGACUUGUUUGUGAAACUAUGUAUUGUAUGAUGAUUGUUCUAAUGGUCCCUAGUCGAUAAGGUUAUGCGGACACAUAUCCUUGACUAGUAUACGACUCGGUUGAUGACUAUGUUUCACGAGUCAUGUGCAUGGAGAUGCUAAACAGAUAGUAUGGACUCGGGGAUGGAGAUCACCGAGUCGGACAGACCCACUUUGAGACGCGGCGAGAUAUAGUCAUCCGUUAGUCUCAAGUACAAUGUCUAUGACAUGUCCUAGACCUGAGGUCCUCACAUGUUCUCGGGAUGAGGAUCGACUCACUUAGGGUCUAUCAAAUGCUAUUCCGUAACUGGGUAGUUAUAAAGGUAGCUUUUGGGUGAGUCGUGAGACAUGCCGCAAGACAUGGUUGACCAAGACAGGAUUUGCCCCUACUAUUUGGAGAGAUAUUCUCUAGGCCCUCUCGAAUGAUCAGAUUCAGAAAGCAUGUCCAUGCGACUUGGGUUAAGUGUUAAUCCAGUUCGGGAAUCUGUAUCACGGUUUCGAGAAGAGAGGUCGAGCUAUCACAAGGGUGACAAGUACUCGCCUUGAGAUCGACAACAAAUAUCAUGAGGUAAAAGGAAUGUUGCAUAUGACACAUUGUCGAGGUUCGUCAAACGACUUUACGCACACAUGGGAGUUGGCACGUUCUGCUAGGAGCCGCUACCAACUAUCGACUUGGUCGUGUCCAUGCGUACGUGAACCUAUAGGAUCGGACACUUAUGGGGAUGCAGCCCAUUCAGAUUGGAUCCGAGUGGAAAAUGGAUGUGGACUCCUAGUGGGCUCAAGUGUUGAGCCCACCUCGGAUAUCUAUAUAAAGGGGAGUGGGCACACCACUUAGGUUAACCUUUUCUAACCCUGGUUCGCCACCGCCACUCCCUACGUCCAUGACGUGCGACUGGACCUAGCAGUCCGCUGCCCGCCACUGCACCCCGCACGUGUGGAUACCUUGGAGGCAUCGCAUCUGUGGUGCUUGGAUGAACAGUUCGAGUGAACCGUGAGGUGCCGUUUGCGGGAGAUCACCGUUCACGGGUCUUCGCUGUUCGUGGGAGAUCACCGUUCACGGGUCACUGUUCGCGGGAGAUCACCGUUCAUGGGUCUUUGUUGUUCGCGGGAGAUUGGCGACGCUAGGAGGAGAUGGCCCGGAGAUCGGCUACAUGCAUCACCAACUCUACUUCCACUGUGGUGACUGCGUGUCCAGUGGUAAACCCGAUCCCGUGAUCUAUUUCCAUCAGCAUGAUCUUGGGUGCGCGGUAGAAAAUUUUAUUUGGCGCUAGCGUAGCGUACCGCGUGUUUCAACAGUGGUAUCAGAGCCUCUGCUGUGUGGUGAUAGAUUCGAUGAUAUGCAUAUGAUAUAUGUAGAUCGGUUCAGGUGCGGGUUGAUGAGAUCGGUCGCUCACGUCAGUGUUGAUGGUUGGUUUCGUGAUCUUAUUUCCGUGAUCGAGACACAGAGGUCGUGACACGAGUUACCCCUACCGGUCGGUUUCCGCCAUCGGGGUAGACAGUGGAACGUAAAUCCGGAUGCAGCACGCGAAGAUCAAUGAGAUUGAUCGAAUCGGAACAUAGAUCAACAUCGUGGAAAUGUGAUUUCCGCAGUGCUGAAAUUUGUUGGAGUGGUCUCGGUAAAAUGGCUGUAACUUUUGCAUACAAAGUCCGUUUUUGCUCUACGACAUGUCAAACUGAAGCUAACGAAAAGUUGGAUUAGCAGCGUAAUGUCGGAACAAGAUUUUGGCUCUUCUGGCUAGGCCAAAAUCCUCUUGGAAAUAGAGUUUCGGGAGGUUUUAUCUUCGGCGGUAGAACGCGUGACUCGUUUUUGCAGGGAAUGCUUGUGAUUUGGUAUAGCCCUUGAAUGUUGCUUGUACAUUAUUGUUUCAUGACCUGCGUGUCUUGAGUGCGGCAACCGAAAGGAGCCAUAUGAUUGUCCAUUAUUGUAUUAAUGAUCGGCGUGUCAACAUAAGAGGCCAUGUAAUGUAAUUUACUUUCAGUAGCUAUUAGUUUGUAAUAGCAUAGUAUCUUAUGUAACACUUGGCGGUUGACACCAUGGCGUGGAGAUGGAGAUCACCACAAGGACAACCAUGCAUGGAGAUGGAGAUCACCAUGGGCAGACCGCGCACGUGGAGAUAGAGAUCAUCAUGCGUUGUGAAAAGGGGGUUAUACCAUAUCACGCAUAUAUAAACUGCAUGUGAAAGUUUAUCCCUUUUAUGCACCCUUCUUUUCCCUGGUAGAUGUUUUAAGUAGGGUGAUCCCUCAAAGAAUGUCAAGUUUAAAUGCCUCCCCAAUUGCUGCACCUUCACAUGUCAAGUAUAUUUAGUGAUGGGCCUAUAAAAUUAGGGUGCCACUAUAUCUCCUUGAAGUGAUGGGUUUGUGUCGGACACUUACACGCGAAGCAUUGGUUGACUUGUCGUGGCUAUCAAAACAGUUUUGGGCCAUGAGGCAUAGGAGUUGGCGCGGCAUGAGAUGUCCCCAACAACAAGAAUCGUAUGGAGAUACGAUUAGCAAGAGUUGCUUACCGAGUGAUCUUGUCUUCUAGCGGUGAUGCAAAAGCUCACUAGUUGACAUGUUGAUCUUGGAUCUUGAAUCAUUAAGUAUCAACCGAGGGAUGUUGAUUUUAGUGGGAGUAAUGAUCUUAUGUUUAAUAUGAAUUACUCUUCAGGAAUACAUGUCUUAGUGUUUUGCAUAUUUCUGUUGUAGAUCAAUGGCACCACCUAAUCAAGUUACCCCUUUUGCGUUGAAAUCAAUCCUGGAAAAAGAUAAAUUGAAUGGAACAAACUUUACCACCUGGUAUAGAAACCUGAGAAUUGUUCUUAGGCAUGAGAAAAAGGAACAAGUUCUAGAGAAUCCUCUUCUAGAGGAACCUGCCGAUAAUGCUAAUGCCACGACCAGAAAUGCUACCAGAAACUCAUUGAUGAAUCAAACGAGAUCAGCUGUCUCAUGCUGGCUUCUAUGGAGCCCGAUCUGCAACAGAAGUUUGAAAAUAUUGAGGCUUUCGAUAUGAUCGAGAACCUUAAGAGCAUGUUUCAAAUGCAGGCUAGGACCGAAAGGUUCAAUGUCUGGCGAUCCUUGAUAGAUUGUAAGCUGAAAGAGGGUGAUCCACUAAGCCCGCACGUGAUCAAGAUGAUCGGGUACAUUCAAGCUCUCGAUCGGUUGGGCUUCCCACUUGGGGAUGAGUUUUCCAUAGAUAUAAUUUUGGGUUCUCUUCCGGAUAGCUAUGGACCGUUCAUCUCGAACUACCAUAUGCAUGGGAUGGAAAACAAGCUCACUGAAUUGCAUGGGAUGCUCAAAAUGGCAGAGCGGAUAUCAAGAAAGGUACGCAUCGUCAAGUGUUGAUGGUGCAGAAAUCGGCUAAGUUCAAGAAGAGUUGGUCCAAGAAAAAGACUAAGGAGAAGGGCAAGGAGAAGGAGGCAACUCCAACUGCCGCCGCUGCGCCUAAGUCAGGGACGGCCUCGGGGAGUAUUUGCUUUCAUUGCAAGGAACCCGGUCACUGGAAAAGGAACUGCAGCAAGUGGCUUGCCGAGAAGGGCAAGAAGACUGGAAGUAUGACUUCUUCUUUAGGUACACUUGUUGUAUAUAUUAUAGACAUUUAUCUUUCUGAUGUUUCUAUUAGCUCUUGGGUAUAUGAUACCGGGUCGGUUGUUCACAUAUGCAACUCAAUGCAGGGGCUAAGCAGAACUAGGAAUGUCGCAAGAGGAGAAGUUGACAUACGCGUCGGGAAUAAAGCAAGAGUUGCUGCAUUGGCCAUCGGCACUAUGCAACUUAAUUUACCUUCAGGAUUUGUAAUAGAACUUGAUAAUUGUUAUUAUGUUCCUGCUUUGAGUCGAAACAUUAUUUCUGCCUCAUGUUUGAUGAGACAAGGUUAUGAAUUUAGUAUUAAGGACAAUUGUUGUUCUAUUUACUUGAACAAUAUGUUUCAUGGCUUUGCACCGAUUGUGAAUGGGUUAUUUAUCCUAGGUAUUGAAGGUGAAUCAGUCUAUAACAUAAAUGUCAAGAGGCAUAAGCCUAAUGAGAUAAAUCUGACUUACAUCUGGCAUUGUCGACUAGGACACAUUAGUCAAAAGUGCAUGAAGAAGCUCCAUGAUGAUGGAAUUCUAACUUUGUUUGAUUUUGAAUCAUUCGAGACAUGCGAGUCUUGCCUACUCGGCAAGAUGACUAAGACUCCUUUUGCAAAGAGUUGCGAGAGGGCGUCCGAACUAUUGGAACUUAUACAUGGUGAUGUAUGUGGACCAAUGAGCACGACAGUCAGAGGUGGUUUCCAAUACUUCGUGACUUUUACCGGCAACUUGAGUAGAUAUGGAUAUGUCUACUUGAUGAGGCACAAGUUAGAAACUUUUGAAAACUUCAAGGAGUUUCACAACGAAGUGGAAAAUCAACUCAGCAAGAAAAUUAAACUUCUACGAUCUGAUCGUGGCGGUGAGUAUAUGAGCCAGGAGUUUGAUGACCAUCUGAAGAGUCAUGGAAUAGUUCCACAACUGACUCCUCUAGGUACACCAUAGAGAAAUGGCAUGUCAGGAUGGAGGAAUCGGACUUUGUUGGACAUGGUCCGAUCAAUGAUGAGUAAGUCGGAUUUACCCUUGUCAUUUUUGGGAUACGCUCUAGAAACUGCAGCUUUCACACUAAACAGGGUACCGCCUAAAUCCGUAGAUAAGACACCAUAUGAGAUAUGGACUGCGAAGAGUCACAGUUUAUCUUUUCUAAAAGUUUGGGGAUGUGAAGCAUAUGUCAAGCGACUCCAGUCAGACAAGCUCACACCCAAAUCGAACAAGUGCAUAUUCGUGGGAUAUCCAAGGGAAACCUUGGGAUAUUACUUCUACAACCGUGAAGAGGGCAAAGUUGUCGCUCGACAUGGAGUUUUCCUUUAGAAAGAGUUUCUCAAUUGGAAGGCUAGUGGGAGGACGGUCCGACUCAAAGAAAUUCGAGAACCACACGGGAACGUUCCGGUAGGUGAUUCUGUCACGACAGAAUUAGUCAGGGAACCUGUGGUGGAGUCGACGUCGGUUCCACAAAGGUUGGAAAGGUUACGCAAUUUGCAUGACUGCAAUGUGUUGUUCUUGGAGAAUAACGAGCCGACUACAUAUGCGGAAGCAAUGGAGAGCCCUAAUUCCGAGUUAUGGAUUGAGGCCAUGAGAUCCGAAUUAAAGUCCAUGGAUGACAAUCAAGUUUGGAACUUGGUUAAUCUGCCAGAUGGCAUUCGAGCCAUUGAGUGCAAGUGGAUCUUUAAGAAGAAAACUGAUAUGAACGGAAAUUUCAUAGUCCAUAAGGCUCGACUUGUUGCUAAAGGUUAUCGACAAGUUCAAGGAGUUGACUACGAUGAGACUUACUCACCGGUAGCGAUGCCUAAAUCAAUUCGGAUCAUUCUUGCUAUAGCGACAUAUUUCGACUAUGAGAUAUGGCAGAUGGAUGUCAAAACGGAUUUCCUUAAUGGAAAUUUAACCGAGGAUGUGUAUAUGACACAGUCCAGGGUUUUGUCGAUCCAAAGAAGUCUAGCAUGGUAUGCAAGCUUCAGAGAUCCAUUUAUGGAUUAAGGCAAGUAUCUCGGAAUUGGAACAUUCAUUUUAAUGAAGCGGUCAAAGAGUUUGGCUUCAUCAAGAACGACUGUGAUCAUUGUGUAUUCAAGAAGGUCAGUGGGAGCUCAGUUGCAUUUCUAAUCUUAUAUGUGGAUGACAUAUUAUUGAUUGGAAAUGAUGUUCAAAUGCUUGAAUCUGUCAAUGACUCAUUGAAAAAUAGUUUUUCUAUGAAGGACUUGGGAGAAUUGAUGUCGCUUGAAGCUACGUCGGUAUUUCCCCAAAGAGGAAGGGAUGAUGCAGCACAACGGCGGUAGGUAUUUCCCUCGGAUAUGAAACCAAGGUUCUCGAACCAGUAGGAGAACCAAGCAACAGAACGUAAACAGCCCCUGCACACAAAUAACAACCACUCGCAACCCGACGUGUUAAAGGGGUUGUCAAUCCCUUUCGGGUAACGGCGCCAGAAAUUGGUGCUCCGACGGGAGAAAGUUGUAAUAGAUUGAAUAAAUAGAUUGCAAAUAAAAUAAAGUGCAACAAAGUAAUUUUGUAUUUUGGGAUUAAUAGAUCUGAAAAUAAAAGCAAGGAAAAAGUAGAUCGCAAAGGCAAAUAUAUGACAAAGAGAUCGAACCCACUAGAAAGCACCUCCUCCCUUUCUGUCACUGGGAUCAAGCACCGUAAGAUCGAACCCACUACAAAGCACCUCUUCCCAUUGCAAGAUAAAUAGAUCAAGCUGGCCAAACAAAACCCAAAUAUCAGAGAAGAAAUACGAGGCUAUAAGAGAUCAUGCAUAAAAGAGAUCAAAGAAACUCAGAUACUUACAUGGAUAUAAAAAGAUAGAUCUGAUCAUAAACGCAAAGUUCAUCGAUCCCCACAAACACACCGCAAAAAGAGUUACAUCAUAUGGAUCGCCAAGAGACCAUUGUAUUGAGAAUCAAUAGAGAGAGAGAUAGGGGAAGCCAUCUAGCUACUAACUACGGACCCGAAGGUCUACAAAGAACUACUCACGCAUCAUCGGAGAGGCACCAAUGGAGGUGGUGAACCCCAUCCGAUAUGGUGUCUAGAUUGGAUCUGGUGGUUCUGGACUCUGCGGCGGCUGGAUGAAUAUUUCGUCGACUCCCCUAGGGUUUCUGGAAUAUUGGGGUAUUUAUAGAGCAAAGAGGCGGUCCGGGGGGCACCCGAGGUGGGCACAACCCACCAGGGCGUGCCUAGGCCUACUGGCGCGCCCCGGUGGGUUGUGCUCUCCUCGGAGCACCCCCCAGGUGCAGCCAGGGCCCAUUACGUUCCUUCUAGUCCAUAAAAAAUCUCUGCAAAGUUUCGUGGCAUUUGGACUCCGUUUGAUAUUGAUUUUCUGCGAUGUAAAAAACAUGGGAAAACAGCAACUGGCACUUGGCACUAUGUCAAUAGGUUAGUACCAAAAAUGAUAUAAAAUGACUAUAAAAUGAUUAUAAAACAUUCAAGAUUGAUAAUAUAACAGCAUGGAACGAUAAAAAAUAUAGAUACGUUGGAGACGUAUCAAGAAGCAGCUUAAAUUUUGGGAAUCGAGAUCUAUAGAGAUAGAUCGAGAAGGCUUAUUGGAUUAAGCCAGAGUGUGUAUAUUGACAAGGUGUUGAAGCGGUUCAACAUGCAAGAUGCCAAGAAGGGUUUCUUACCCAUGUCACAUGGCAUUAGUCUUAUCAAGACUCGGAGUCCUUCGACUCCUGAUGAGCGAAGACACAUGGAUGGGAUUCUGUAUGCUUCGGCUGUUGGGUCCAUCAUGUAUGCUAUGGUAUGUACUCGUCCCGAUGUUAGCUUUGCUCUUAGCGUGGUGGGCAGAUACCAGGCUGAUCCAGGUGAGAGUCACUGGACAGCUGUUAAGGAUAUCCUUAAGUACUUGAGAAGCACUAAGGAUAUGUUCCUUGUUUAUGCAGGUGAGGAUGAGCUCGUUGUGAAGACUUACAUCGAUGCUAGUUUCCAAACCGAUAAGGAUGAUAGUCGAUCGCAAUAUGGGUUUCUGUUCAUUCUGAACGGAGGAGCAGUGAGCUGGAGGUACAUUGUGGCUUCUGAAGCUGCAAAACAAGAUGUUUAGGUGAAGAAUUUUAUUUCUGAUCUUGGUGUGGUUGAGAGCGUGUCCAAGCCAUUGGACUGCUAUUGUGAUAUAGUGGUGCCAUCGUGCAACUCAAGGAACAACGGAAGAGGUGAUGUAAACAUAUGUGAGGUACAUACGGAUGCAAAUGUUGCUGAUCCAUUGACGAAGCCUCUCCCACGGCUGAAGCAUGAGGUGCACAUGAGCUCCAUGGGCAUACGAUGCCUAAAUGAUUGACUCUAGUGUAAGUGGGGGACUGUUGGAGAUAUGCCCUAGAGGCAAUCAUGUGAUGAUGAUAUUUCCAUAUGUAUUCAUGAGUCAUUUGUAUUGUCCUUGAACAUCAUCAAUGAUAUGUAUCAAUAAGUAUGUGACUUGUUUGUGGAACUAUGUAUUGUAUGUUGAUUGUUCUAAUGGUCCCUAGUCGAUAAGGUUAUGCGGACACAUAUCCUUAACUAGUAUACGACUCGGUUGAUGACUAUGUUUCACAAGUCAUGUGCAUGGAGAUGCUAAACCGAUAAUAUGGACCCGGGGAUGGAGAUCACCGAGUCAGACAGACCAACUUUGAGACGCGGCGAGAUAUAGUCAUCUGUUAGUCUCAAGUACAAUGUCUAUGCCAUGUCCUAGACCUGAGGUCCUCGCAUGUUCUCGGGAUGAGGAUCGACUCACUUAGGGUCUAUCAAACGCUACUCCAUAACUAGGUAAUUAUAAAGGUAGCUUUCGGGUGAGUCUGAGACAUGCCGCGAGACAUGGUUGACCAAGAUGGGAUUUGCCCCUCCUAUUUGGAGAGAUAUUCUUUGGGCCCUCUCAAGUGAUCAGAUUCAGAAAGCAUGGCCAUGCGACUUGGGUUAAAUGUUAACCCAGUUUGGGAAUCUAUAUUACGGUUUCGAGAAGAGAGGUUGAGCUAUCACAAGGGUGACAAGUACUCGCCUUGAGAUCGACAAUAUAUAUCGUGAGGCAAAAGAAAUGUUGCAUAUGACACAUUGUCGAGGUUUGUCAAACGACUUUACGCACACAUGGGAGUUGGCACGUUCUGCUAGGAGCUGCUACCAACUAUCGACUUGGUCGUGUCCAUGCGUACGUGAACCUAUGGGGCGCACACUUAAGGGGCUGCAGCCCAUUCGGAUUGGAUCCUAGUGAAAAUGGAUGUGUACUCCUAGUGGGCUAAGUGUUGAGCCCACCUCGGAGGUCUAUAUAAAGGGGAGUGGGCAUACCACUUAGGGUUAAUCUUUUCUAACCCUGGUUAGCCACCGCCACUCCCUACGUCCAUGAUGUGCGACCAGACCUAGCAGUUCGCCGCCCCCGCUGCACCCCGCACGUGUGGAUACAUUGGAGGUAUCACAUCUGCGGUGCUUGGACGAACAGUUCGAGGGAACCCCGAGGUGCCGUUCGCGGGAGAUCACCGUUCACGGGUCUUCACUGUUCCCGGGAGAUCACCGUUCACGGGUCUUUGCUGUUCAUGGGAGAUCGGCGACGCUAGGAGGAGACGGCCCGGAUAUGCACAAGUGAUGACAAGCUGCACAAAAAAGAGAAGUGUUGCUCUGUUGGGCUAGUCUAGAUCUCAAACACUAUGCCCAGAAACAGGUUGGUCUGGUCGGAGUGUUCCGGUGAUCAAACAUUGGAUUAGGCGAUCAUGGGAGAGGGCUUCUAGGAUUUUUUUCAUUUGAAUUGUUUAAAUGGGUGUUUUUUCCAGAAUGCAUGCCUGAUUCAUCCACACUAGGUGGUAGAUUCUGUGACCCAUGCUUGGUAGUUCCUGUGUCCACGGAGGGGAUGGUUUUUAGGCCGAGUGUGAUGCACCCUCUCCAUUUGACGGCUUUAGCUCGUUGAUUUGUGCGUGUCAUCCUUGCGCAGGGGUCAUGCUAAUCUUCUCUGUAUCGUUCCAAUUUUAUCGGAUGUCCCCGAAGGGACUUCAGCUUGUUGAUUUGCAUGUUCUGUUGUCGUUGGUUUUGUGCCCUAGCACAUGUCAUUGUGUUUAAGUUCUUGUUUCCUUCUUUCACAAAAAAAAGUUCUUGCUUCAUUUGUUUUGUUCAGUUGUCAACAUUUGUAUGGUUAUUGGGUCGUCAUUUGUUGGAAUUAUUUUUUGUCUGGUGUUAGAUAUUGUCACAUGCAUAUUUUUUCAAAUUUUGAAAUGUUAAUUAAUAAUAAUUAAGUAAUGUUGUGUGACUUCAAUUCUUAGAAGGAAUUACAACUUCUGAGUACUUACUUAAAAAUUUUAAACCAUGUCAUGCAAGUUGGAUUGACACAACUAUCCGGCAAAAAUGAUUCAAAGUGUGUGAAUAAUAUGACUUUCUCAAAUAUAUUAUUUCGAUCUUAAUUUGGAUCUUCGCCCUAAUCAAAUGAUACAGUAGAUAAAAUGACAUCUCUGAAUAGACCAUUGCAAAAAUGGAGUUUAUUUGCGUUUAGAUUUAUUUAAAAAAAAUCCAAUUGUCAGGAAAUCCUUCCCUCUGGAUUCCACAGCAUGUGUCUUAUGCAAUGAAGAUGAGAUGGAGGACAGAACCCAUUUAUUAUUUGCAUGCUCAUUCAGUCAAAAUUUCCGAUGGAAUAUUGAUUUUGAAUGGAACACUGAUUUGACUGUUCAUGACAUGAUCUCUGAUGGCAAAUUAAGACAUAAUCUACCUUUCUUCAUGGAAAUUGUGACUGUUGGAUGCUGGAGUAUAUGGAAUCAGAGAAAUGGCUUGAUAUUUGAAGAUACACCAUGUUCCAUAACCUCAUGCAAAUUUGACUUCAUCAAAACUUUCAAGCUCACCAUGCUGAGAGCAAAGCCUAGCUUCAAGGAUGGCAUGUCAUCCUGGAUAGACAACAUUUGAACAAUAAUGUAAUUUAUUUUUAUACCUUUUGUAACCUUCUCACUCUGGUUGUUCCCCCAACAACCAUUGUACCCAGCACCUUUUAGUAUUUCUUAUAAUGAAAAUGACACACAGUAGGGUUUUUGCCCUACUGUUUUAUGGUCGAUUUUUUUCCAAUUAAUCAUAUAAUAAAAAAUGAGGGCAGAUAAUAUGAAUCCUCCAUAAAUAAUACUGGAAAAAUGUUUAAUAGUGUUUGAAUAUUUGGUUAUUUUAAUAUAAAUUUUGGUAUUUAUAAGACCCUAAAACUACUUUAGGAAUUUAAAAUAAAUUUAAACGAUUUGAUUACAUAAAAACCUAUUUAUAAAAUUUACAUGGAGAAUGAAAUAUCUUUCCUAGACUCUCCAUAUUUUAUUGAGCCUAUUUUCAUUUUCUAGACAUUUUUGGCAACUAUAAGAGGCCAUAAUCAUUUCCAUAUAAUUAUUUAAAUACGAAAAUUGUCAACGAAAACCACAUAAAUUCUAAUUGGGCCAUAUGUCCACUUUUGGCUCAUCCUAUUCUCUCUCUCUCUCUUCCCACGCCCUACACCGUGGCAUUUCCUAUUUGGCGCUGCAGGCGCCGGUUUCUACUAUUUUUGCUAACCGGCGCCUGCAGCAGCUACUCGCGGGCCGUCCCAUCUCACCUCCCUUUUUCUGCUGAAAAAGCAAAAACAGCGCGGGUGAAGAAAAUCGAACCAAGGACCCCACAGAUCGAACCACACCGCAACAACCACCAAGCCAACACGCCCGACGUGGUUACCCAUUAUUCCGACUUUUCUUAUUUCUUAUUUCCUCUUUCCUUUUUCCUUUUUUCCUCUUUCCUUUUUUCCUGGUUUGGUGAUUUCUUUAAAAUUCGUGAAGUUUUCUUAAAAUGGACGAGUUAUUUUCUCAAAACUGAUUUUNNNNNNNNNNNNNNNNNNNNNNNNNNNNNNNNNNNNNNNNNNNNNNNNNNNNNNNNNNNNNNNNNNNNNNNNNNNNNNNNNNNNNNNNNNNNNNNNNNNNNNNNNNNNNNNNNNNNNNNNNNNNNNNNNNNNNNNNNNNNNNNNNNNNNNNNNNNNNNNNNNNNNNNNNNNNNNNNNNNNNNNNNNNNNNNNNNNNNNNNNNNNNNNNNNNNNNNNNNNNNNNNNNNNNNNNNNNNNNNNNNNNNNNNNNNNNNNNNNNNNNNNNNNNNNNNNNNNNNNNNNNNNNNNNNNNNNNNNNNNNNNNNNNNNNNNNNNNNNNNNNNNNNNNNNNNNNNNNNNNNAUUCAAUGAUUUUUUUUUCAAAUUUGAUGAGCUUUUUCUAAAUUUUUGAUUUUUUUUAAAUUCACAAACUAUUUUCAAUUUUGAUGAACUUUAUUGAAAUUUGAUGAUUUUAUUCUCAAAACUGAUUAUUGUUUCAUUCAAUUCAAUGAACUUUAUUCAAAUUUGAUAAUUUUUUUCAUUUUUUUGAAAAUCCAUGAACUCUUUUCAAUUUGAUGAACUUUUUUGAAAUUCGAUAAACUUUUUUAAAAAAUGGAUGAACUUUUUAUCAUUUUUAUGAACUUUUUUCAGAAUAAAUGAACUUUUUUCAAAUCCAAUGAAUUUCUUUUUCAAAUUUGUGAACUUUUUUCAAAUCCGGUGAACUUUUUUUCAAUCAAAAAAUGAAAAAAGUUCAUCAAUUUGAAAAGAGUUCACGAGUUUGGAAAAAAAUCAUCAUAUAAGGAAGAAAAAUGAAAAAAGGGAAAAAGGAAAGAAGAACUUAAAAUCAUCAUAUAAGGAAGAAAGUGAUGUAACCUAUUGGAUGUGCCGUUGUGGAUUAGGAGCUCCCCUACACCGUAGUCCAAGCCCACAUUUGGUUUUCCUUUCUUUUCUCUUUUAUUUUCCUUUCGGCCUAGUUUUGCCCAAUUAAAUCCCAUAGAUAUUUAGCCCAUGGACACGACGCGACAUCUCCUCUGUAUGCUAUGUAUCGCCUAAUGCGAGCUGCAGCGUUCGCUCGAGUCAGGGAUCCUCGUAAAUGGGCGGGCCAAGCUAGGUAGUUGUUCCUCUCUUUUUUCCUAGUUUCACAUUUUCUCUUUUUUUGCCUUAUUCUUUAACUUUUUAUUAUAUUUGGAAAAAUUAUAAAUAUAUAUAUAUAUAUAUAUAUAUAUUAUAAAAAUCACUUUAUAUACAAAAAUGGAAAAUGGUAAUCAUGCAAUUUCCAAAUGUUAAUCAUGUAUAAAAAUGGUUUUCAUGUAUACAAAAAAUGUACAAUGCAUCUGGAAAAGUGGACAUAAAAAUAUAUGUUUUUAAAAUGCUAAUAAUGUAUUUAAAAAAGUUAUGUGUUUUAAAAAUGUUAAACAUGUAUAAAAAAUGUUUAUGAUGUACACCAAAGAAGUACAAUAUGUAUGGAAGAAACUAGACAUCAAAGAUAUAUAAAAAAAAUAUGAUUAAAAUUGUUAGUCGUGUACCUCAAGAAAGUUAAUCGUGUAUUCUAAAAAUGUUAAACAUUUAAAUGUAUAAUGUGUAUGGAAAAGUUUACAUAAAAAAUGUGUGUUUUAAAUCAUGUGCUAAAAAAAUAUAGAAUGUGUAUGGAAGAAACUAGACAAUGCGAGAAAUAGCUCUCACGCGUUACUACCACCAGGAACAUAGGAGGAGCAUGCUACAGCCAUGGCGCCCCUCACCUCUUCCUCUCCCUCUUACACUUAAUUCGUUCAUCCUUUCAACUUGCCAGGAACACAAAAAAUCCUUAGAAUUCCAGGUAUAAUUCAUCUAGGGGAAUAAAACCACACUUUGAUGACUUAAUUAUCCAAAUCGACCUCAUGCACCAAAUGCUACUAGUUGUCAACGAAAUUCCAAUCUCUCUUCGCGACCUAUAACCAUGGGGAGUUUUGAGCCCCAUGGGGAGUUCAUCGCAGCCCCAUGCCAUUGUCAUAAGUUUUGACCCCCAUGGGCGAGUCGUUUAUGUCACUUAUGCGUCCAAUUUCUUCCAUCAGAGAACCUUGCUUUGACCUCUUCAACAUCCAGGACAUGGUGGUGCACCCAUUCAACAACAUUGGCCGCGACGACACCAAACCAUGCCAUGACACUGUUUCUAUGGAGCUUCCGUGAUGGAUUUGCAUUGCCGAAGUCGCUUGAUGCUACACCUACGUCUCCACCGUGACAUCAGGAAGACCGCCGACCUUCCCAUAGACACAAAAGACACCCAUAUCACCAAGUGUUGCUUCAUCAGUCCUCGACACACAUCGAUCAACUACGAUGAGCAUCUUUCGCUCAACCUCACUCUCUUAUUUCUUGUCCAAAGUCAACCUCAUGUUUAUUAGUUCUCCUUACACAUGCUUACCUGAGACCAUGAUAUCCUUUGAACAUCAACUUGUAUACUCCAUGUGCUCUUGAACUCACGUGAUUAUAUUUUGUGUCAUCUUUCAAAAGAAUCAAACUAUUCUUCCACAUACUCCCUCCGUUCGGAAUUACUUGUCUCGGAUAUGGAUGUAUCUAGAACUAAAAUACAUCUAGAUACAUCAUUUCUGCGAUAACUAAUUUCGAACGGAGGGAGUACAUUCCUAGGAUCUUAUCAUCUAUUGUGUGGCAUAGUGACAUUUAGGUUAUACUUGGACCCAUUUGAAAAUAUUCAAAACUCAACUGAAAGCCUUUUUUUAGCACCUCGAGAGGAGGCAGGGGUCCUGCAUUUCAUUAAAAAAAGAGAAUUGUCCAGUUAAUUAGAAAUAACCGGGCUAAAACCCAACACACACACACACAGAGAGAGAGAGGGGCGAUUUAGGAGCUCAUUACUGCAGCUGAUCAUCUCUAUUUUGUUAUUCAGGACCAAAAACAAACUCUCCUUAUAGGUUUCUUUCUUUCUCAACUGCCCCCUGGGUUGUAACAAAAUUCUUUGACAGUGCAAGAUUGAGAAAGUCAGGGUACUGGCCUACUGAUUUUAAACUUCAAAGAGCCUGAGUGAAGCAAAGGGCCAAACUAGUUGGUUCUUUCUGAAAUAGGCCGACACAUUUGCUGUUCUGAGAUCCACUGUGAAGCAGGACAACAACAACAAAAAUAAAGUGGAAACACGUACUCCCUCUGUAAAGAAAUAUAUGAGUAUUUAGAUAACAAAGGGAGUAGUUGCCUCCCACGGCUAGCAUGACACUUUAAUAAUUGAAUUCCACAUCAGUAAAACGCUAACCACGGGGUCACCAUUUGCAUGGAGAAAGACGAGAUAGCCAAUCACCUGCAUGGGUAUAUAUAUGGCACCCUUGAACACAACUCCAAGCAAUGCAUGUCUAGAGCCUCAAAGUGUUAGCACCACCUCAUUUUUCAUAGAGGAAAUAGUGGAGAGCAGUAUAUGAACACGCCGAAGAGGAGUUGGUGACGGAGCCCAGUUUAGUAUUGGAAUUCACCCUCAAAAUGUCAUUUGGUGACUGCUACGGCCUACGGUGGUGCCGGAGACAGGUGACGCAUGUUACCGCCAAGCUCAGGGAAUUCUUCAGCCUCGCUCGAAUUUUUACUUCUUGGGUGGUUGUCAACAAAGAUUAGAGCUGUCAUUUUGGUUUUGUCAUGCCAAUGUAAAUGUGGCUUGUAACUUGGAAGACUUUUAUUAUAUGAAUGAGACACAUAGGCCGCUCGGACCGGAGUGUGGCGUUGCAAAGACCGGGCUCCAUGGAGCUCGUUUUGCAAAAAAAAAAAUCAAAAUAUAUAUAAAAGUUUCAAAAAAUGCCAAUUUUUUUGUACAAAUACAUAUGCAUAUUCUUUAAGUAUGUAUAAAUUUUCAGUAACUAAUUUGAUCAUCUGCAUGCUACACAAAAAAGACAAAUAUCUGACACAAAUACAACAAAGAAAAAGCCUAUUUCAAUCUGUGUAUUUAUCUUUUUUGUAUACACCACAUAUGAAUACAUAUGUUUAUGAAAAUUUGUACACAUAUACUUCAAGUAUAUGUCUAUAUGAAAACAUUUUUUCAGAUUUUUUUGAGUUACGGAAAAGGUAUUUUGGCUGAGAAAUAUAUAUAGAGCUCAGUGAAGCUCGGCCUCUGCAGCCACUUUUCGGCUCGGACCGCCCCAUCUCAUCUCCUCCUGCCUACCUAGCAGUUGCCAAAGGAAACUUUCAAGAGAAGUCUCUCUGCCUGAUGGUUGCGGCGGGCUCAUCUCCUCACGUUGCUAGGAGCCCUUCGGCUCGAGCGCAGCGGCAGCCCUAAACGCUGCACGCUUCGGCGGAGCCCAAGCGCCAGGGCGGCGGCCGUGCUGCUAUGCUGCAGGGUUAUUGUGGCGCUGGCAACAUAUCUGGCCCUGCAUUGGCCGACGACAAGUCGACAACUGCUGGCGGCGAUCUAGCCAGCGGUCGGGAUGAUGCUUUUUGCAUCUUGCUCGUCGGGAGCAUCUGGCUUACAUCAUGUCUUCUGUGGGCAGCGGUGAGGUGGAUCUAGUGCGACCUGAUUUGAUGAGGGUCGGUUUCCUUGUCUCGGACUCCUACCGGUGUGACAUUGAAUGAGGGGUGCGCGAUAUAGCCAUUUGGCUUCUCACGCCGGUAUCCUUUUGGCGGACACCCAUCGGCACGGGUACUGGCGGUGGUGCGACUAGAUCCACCUCCUUUUGCUCGUCGAGCAGCAUGCGGAGGCCCCAAAAUAAUUCCCGGUGCCUUCCAGUCCCAGGCAACCUGUCUGCAUAUGUGUGAUAUAUAUGGUGGUCGCCACUAGGAGGUGAUAAAAAGAAGGUAUGGGAAGACCUAUAGGCGGCAUGUUAGCACGUUGAUGUGAAGACGCUUUGCCCGAGUCACUGUAUUUAUCAGAUUAUUCAUGGUCUCUAUGCUAUGUGAUUCUCAAAUAUGUCGCUUUAUUUUGGUUCGCUUUUAUUCGGGAACGCUAGGUUCUCCUAUGGCUCAAGUUGUUGUGUGACAAGAUGCAUCUAAUGGUUACUCCUGCUGUCCAGGUGCACCGCGACCAAGGCAGAAGGGAAAAUGAGAGAACCUAAAAUUUAUUUGCUAAUUAAUACUUCCUCCAUUCCAUAAUGUAGUGCUUCUUCUAUCCACGUGUUUCAACUUUGACCGUAAAUUUAACUAUCAAGACCGAUGGUGGUGGGAGCAAAAAUUAUAUCAAUGAAUUCGUAUUCGAAAGAAGUUUUCAAUUAUAUAAUUUUUCUCCCGCCGCAGUUGGUCUCAUUGGUUAAAUUUAUGGUCAAAGUUGCACCUCGGAAAACGCGGGCGCACUAUAUUUUGAAAUAGAGGGAGUAGCAUUUCAUGCAAGGAAUUAACCAGUGCAUGUCGUGUUUAGUAGUCUUAAGUCACUGAAAACAUACAUGCCUCACAUCUCUUAUUGGUUCGUUCCUAUAUUUAUAUCAAGAAACAAGAAACGAGGUGAAAGUUAAUACAUCGCACCUAAGUGUUUUGAGAUUAUUUGAUUUUUGUUAGAUGAUUUAUACACCUAGAUGGAGGGAGUACUAAGAAAAUGUGAAAUUCACAACCGAUAUUUAGUCAAUACAGACCCAUCCGACCCGCAUUAAACCAUCAUUCCUUCUACACCUAACCGUAUUUUGUUCUGUCAUAGACUCGCAUGCGUUUCAGAAGAUUGCAUGUGUCUUCUUGACUGACGACUAUAUAGAAAGAUUCGUUGGAUGCAAUCACAUUUUGUUGGAUUUGUUCAAUGCUGAUUUCCCUACAUGCAAAAUCAAUUCAGUUUUUAGAAUAUUUUGCAGAGAGAGAGAGAGAGAGGCAUCUCUGUUCUCUAAACAGGCCAUAUAAAGUAACACAUGAAGAAGUAGGGCGCUGAAGAAUACAAGAUGGUUACGUAGCCCUCUUACAAAGUCAAUCUUGAGAUAGAUGACACAUGGAUAGCACAUGCGACUACGUUACCUACGACGAACACCAAGAAAACUAAUCACACCCAUGCUACGACCUAGCAUACCUAAACUCCAUAACAACGCCCACAAAGGGAAACCGGCGCAGAGCGUCACCGUUACCGAGUCCACACGAGACAAAGGUCUUCACACGGAGCCUUGACACGGAGAGAAUAAUCAUGACAACAUCUUCGAAGAAAGCAGCACCCACGGGUGUCGUCGUCGUCGACUCCAAGGCAUAAAGCUUUUGCUCGGCAUGUCACACGUGUCACUGCGAGGUCACUAGGAAGAACAUGGCGAUGCUAGAUCCCUAGAUCCGGAUCAGGACACCGCCCCUCCAAGAAGUGGGCACGUCCGAGCUACCUGCCGCAACACCUCCCGUUGUCCACACAACCCAAGAGGAGAGCCAUCACCAUCGCAAUGAUACCCGCCGGAGAGCAACUACGUGGACCACAAUCCGGAGCCGCCACCUUGGCAUUCCUGUUGCUAGAUAGUGUAUGCCGCUCACAUCACAGUGCACUCAACCACGAUAGGAAGAGCGACCAUACUCCAUCUAUUCUUAGCCCGGCAUUAGUCCUCGAGUCUGGGUAAGAGCCUCCACUGUAGGAGACCCCCACACCUGCGUCCCCUGCCACGCGUCUCUUUUUGUUCGAAAAUACAUUAUUUCGUCUCAGAUAUACCCAACCAGCCUCCGCAUGGCAACGAAAUUAUUUGACAGUGCAAGCUUGAUGAAGUCUGGUACUGACCUAUGGAAUUAACAGAGAUGGAAUAGGAACCAAAUUCAGGUAUAUGAGAACCUGAACUGGAGCUGUAGGACUGUACGUCCAUGUGGCCAAUUAAGAACAGAAGAUGGAGGUGCAUGAUUAUCAUAUGGAUGGCAGUGAGGAAGCGUUCCCUUGUUUCAGUUUGAAGGAUACAGAGCUUUGGAAUAAAUUGCUCACCCGCUUUGGGUGAAGCCAUAAGCCAACAAAAUAGGGUCUAAAUCAUCUUGCAUUUAUCAAUCUCGCAAUCUAUCUAACAUCCUGGUUAGUAAUCUUGGCUCUAAACAAACAUCGUAGCAUUACUUAUUUAUAAAAUGCAACCUCGGUUCCUAAACAUAAGAGCAUUAUAAUUUGAACUGCGAAAACGACUUACAUUUAGGAACAGAGGGUGUAAUAAAUAGCAAUAUAUGUGUACCGACUUAGCAAGAAGAAAAGUAUAUAGAAACAUAUUGUAUUGAGAACUCCAGAUAUCUGUGUCCAUAUGCGCAGUUAAGGAAUUUGGCAAUCUUCAGAAUACAUGCCAUUGGGUAGUUGUGACUUGUGACAUACUGAUAUAUUUAUGAGCCCCAAUCGAUCAUCAUUAGAAAUCAUGAAAAUUGAAUACUUUAAGAAAUUGUAGAAUACAUCAUGAUCAACAUGGAACAAUGUUCAUCAUGAAAAUUGAAUACUUUAAGAGCAUUAUAAAUCAUGGAACAAUAGAAACAUAUUGUAUUGAGAACUCCAGAUAUCUAUCACUGACUCGAAGAACUACGAUCUAGCGCCAAAUGGAGUCCUUUUUAGGGAAAUUAAUGCCCUUGCUAUGUUGCAUUUUAGUUCUUUUUCUAUCUCUUUUUGCCCACGGGUUUGUAAUAAUAUUGCGGAUGCUCUAGCGACGCACGGGUCGAAGAUGGUGCAUGUGUCCCAAGCCGUAUGGCCGGGCGCUGCUCCUAAUUUUAUCCGAGACUUGAUUGCCGGCAAUAUUGCUGGGCACAGUGGUUAAUUGAAAUGAAAUUUCAUAUUUCAAAAAAAAAUCAAGCUAUUAUAUCAUCUACAGCAACAAUUUCUCAAAAAAAAAUCUACGGCAACAACUACAUGCAGUCAUUUCUAUAAAAAAUGCAGCCAUGCAUUUCUGUAUACUGUUACUGGUGCACGCUACAAAUCCAUGUGGGGUGCGAAUUGACGGGGGAUUUCAGGGUCGCAGAUUCACUGGCGGCAUCGGCAGGCCUUGGUGGAGAGCAGAGAACACAUUACAGAAGGUCAGGCGGGAGUUGAGUUGUGGCCUUUGGGCCAAGACACAUGGCUGCGGUUCUUAGAAGAAUCGGUGCGACUCUGCGGUCUUGACUGGACUACAUUCAUGCGACGGACACAUGCACAUGACCGAAUUCUCAUGGAACACCAGGUUGAGGCCCCAAAAUAAUUCCCGGUACCUUCUAGGCCUAGCCAACACAACGGCAUGCUUGAUAUCUUCUCUUUGGAUGUAUAUAUGAUCUAUGUUGAACGUCACUAGAGGAACCGGGAGCACGGAGGAGGCUUGGAAAGCUAGGACAUGCAUAUUGUUGAUGUGAAGACACUUUGCCCAAUUCAUUCCAUUUAUUAUCAGAUUAUUAGUACUCAAUAUGGUGACGAUGUCAUGUAUUCAACAUUUAUCCAAUAGUUUAAACUCAAGAUGGAGUUUGAGUUGAAACCAUGCAAUGGUCUGGUUUGCUUAUCUAUCUAGGUUAAGAGCUUAAUCGAUUUGGUACCAAUAAUUAGCAAGUCAAAUGUUGGCAGAUCUACAAAAAUCGGUUAAAAUUGCUUGACUACCAACUACAACGCCCUUAUACUACUAUUAUUAUGUAUUGGAGGGAGUAAUUCUCACCAUCUCUAAAAAAAAAUUGGCAACUUUAGAUUGGCAGUGCCGAAUCUUGGCAUUAAAUCAAAAGUAACUAAUUUCCCCUCAAAAUUAAAUGCAAUCCCGCAAUACCAGGCUAGUACUAGCUCCUUUCGAUGACGUCACCCCAUAUCACAUCUUUCCCCCAAUCCAGGAUCCCCGAUCUUCUCCGCCGACGUGCCCGCAGCCCGCAGUGUGGCCUCCCAGCCAGCCAGCCACUCGUCCCGCUCACACAGACGUGCCAUGCCGGCCCAUGCCCUCGUGCGCCGGUUACGUGACGCAAGCGGUGACACACCGAACGAAGGCCCAGAAUCCUCCAGCCGGUACGUACACCACCCGUUCGAUUCGAUCUCCUCUCACACACGUUCUAGCUCUAGUCAAAACGUGCCAGACUAUUCCGGAUACACACGAUCCCACCCUCCCCUCCCCCCUAUAAAUCCUCCGCUCACCUCAUCUUCAUCCUCACUCAUCACCCACACAGCCUACACAACACAAACACAAGCACAGAUCGGUCGAGAUUCAAGGCAACCGGGAGCAAUGGCGGGCGAGAAGGGGCUGGUGCUGCUGGACUUCUGGGUGAGCCCGUUCGGGCAGCGCGUGCGCAUCGCGCUGGCCGAGAAGGGCCUGCCCUACGAGUACGCGGAGGAGGACCUGAUGGCCGGCAAGAGCGACCGCCUCCUCCGCGCCAACCCGGUGCAUAAGAAGAUCCCGGUGCUCCUCCACGACGGCCGUGCCGUCAACGAGUCCCUCAUCAUCCUCCAGUACCUGGAGGAGGCCUUCCCGGACGCGCCCGCUCUGCUCCCCUCCGACCCCUACGCGCGCGCGCAGGCCCGCUUCUGGGCCGACUACGUCGACAAGAAGGUCUACGACUGCGGCUCCCGCCUCUGGAAGCUCAAGGGCGAGCCGCAGGCGCAGGCGCGCGCCGAGAUGCUGGACAUCCUCAAGACCCUCGACGGCGCGCUCGGGGACAAGCCCUUCUUCGGCGGUGAGAAAUUCGGGUUCGUCGACGCCGCCUUCGCGCCCUUCACCGCCUGGUUCCACAGCUACGAGAGGUACGGCGAGUUCAGCCUGCCGGAGGUGGCGCCCAAGAUCGCCGCGUGGGCCAAGCGCUGCGGCGAGCGGGAGAGCG
rnacentral:lncRNA from 1 species